rnacentral:rRNA from 1 species
AUACGGAGGGUGCGAGCGUUAAUCGGAAUUACUGGGCGUAAAGCGUACGUAGGCGGUUGGUUAAGUUAGAUGUGAAAGCCCCGGGCUUAACCCGGGAACUGCAUUUAAAACUGGCGAACUAGAGUUGAGUAGAGGGGAGUGGAAUUUCAGGUGUAGCGGUGAAAUGCGUAGAGAUCUGAAGGAACACCAGUGGCGAAGGCGACUCCCUGGACUCGAACUGACGCUGAGGUACGAAAGCGUGGGUAGCAAACGGGAUUAGAAACCCCGGUAGUCC